UUUUUUUUUUGAGUGCGUGUUAAAUGCGUAUACAUAGAUAUAAAGUCCAUUGGUGCACAACCGAGGAUCGAACCUAUAACCUCAGGAAUGAAAGUUGCACGUUGAAACCACUAGGCCAACACUGUUUUUAAUGAUAAACGAGUAUUACUUUGUCUCGUUGGAUAAAUUGGGAUUGAAGUUGAUAAGUAAGAGAUGGAUGUUUGUUACAAAUAUGUUUUUGGGUUGGUAAGGACAAAACUGAUCUGACUGAUCACCUUGACAUAUAAAAUACCAGUAAAAAUUUACAUAAUUGUAAAUAUUUUCAUUUUACCUUAUGUAUUAAUGGCGCUAAAAGCGCAACGAGCACGGAAACAGCGACCAAAUAACCCGCCACAAAACAAUACAAAAAUGGCGACCUUGGACAUAACCGGAAACUGGGGGUCCAGUGUACGGAUUGUGAACCAACAGGCCACUUUUCUGUCGUCGACUCCAGCUAAUCUCUGCCGUUGAGAGCCUUCCACCAUGAGCCACAGGGUACCUUCCGGAUCACCACUAAGUCAGUGGAAGCUUCACCGAAUACCCCCACGUGUUACAGGAGCGUUAGACCAAAUUUAAGUUCCCAGUACACAUAGGUUUUUUUUAAAAGACCAGAAAGCUUCCCUGUGUCGAGAACCACACCCGGUUGUAGUCAUAAUUAGAUACUUCAGGGUUCAUUGUAAAUUAUUUAAUUCAAUUAAAAAAAAAUUUUUUUUUUCAAUAAAAUAUUGCACUUAU